rnacentral:rRNA from 1 species
CCAGAGAACUUUCCAGAGAUGGAUUGGUGCCUUCGGGAACUCUGAGACAGGUGCUGCAUGGCUGUCGUCAGCUCGUGUUGUGAAAUGUUGGGUUAAGUCCCGCAACGAGCGCAACCCUUAUCCUUUGUUGCCAGCGGUUAGGCCGGGAACUCAAAGGAGACUGCCAGUGAUAAACUGGAGGAAGGUGGGGAUGACGUCAAGUCAUCAUGGCCCUUACGAGUAGGGCUACACACGUGCUACAAUGGCGCAUACAAAGAGAAGCGACCUCGCGAGAGCAAGCGGACCUCAUAAAGUGCGUCGUAGUCCGGAUUGGAGUCUGCAACUCGACUCCAUGAAGUCGGAAUCGCUAGUAAUCGUGGAUCAGAAUGCCACGGUGAAUACGUUCCCGGGCCUUGUACACACCGCCCGUCACACCAUGGGAGUGGGUUGCAAAAGAAGUAGGUAGCUUAACCUUCGGGAGGGCGCUUACCACUUUGUGAUUCAUGACUGGGGUGAAGUCGUAACAAGGUAGGCGUAGAUGA